GACGAACGCUGGCGGCGUGCUUAACACAUGCAAGUCGAACGGUAAGGCCCUUCGGGGUACACGAGUGGCGAACGGGUGAGUAACACGUGGGUGAUCUGCCCUGCACUUCGGGAUAAGCCUGGGAAACUGGGUCUAAUACCGGAUAGGACUCCGGACUCCAUGGUCUGGGGUGGAAAGCUUUUGCGGUGUGGGAUGGGCCCGCGGCCUAUCAGCUUGUUGGUGGGGUGAUGGCCUACCAAGGCGACGACGGGUAGCCGGCCUGAGAGGGUGACCGGCCACACUGGGACGGAGAUACGGCCCAGACUCCUACGGGAGGCAGCAGUGGGGAAUAUUGCACAAUGGGCGCAAGCCUGAUGCAGCGACGCCGCGUGAGGGAUGACGGCCUUCGGGUUGUAAACCUCUUUCAGCACAGACGAAGCGCAAGUGACGGUAUGUGCAGAAGAAGGACCGGCCAACUACGUGCCAGCAGCCGCCGUAA
rnacentral:rRNA from 1 species